AUGAACGCUGGCGGCGUGCCUAACACAUGCAAGUCGAGCGGUAACAGGUGUAGCAAUACAUGCUGACGAGCGGCGAACGGGUGAGUAAUGCUUCGGAAUCUGCCCAAUGGUGGGGAAUAACCAGCCGAAAGGUUGGCUAAUACCGCAUAAGUCCUACGGGGGAAAGCAGGGGAUCGCAAGACCUUGCGCCGAUGGAUGAGCCGAAGUCGGAUUAGCUAGUUGGUAGGGUAACGGCCUACCAAGGCGACGAUCCGUAGCUGGUCUGAGAGGACGACCAGCCACACUGGGACUGAGACACGGCCCAGACUCCUACGGGAGGCAGCAGUGGGGAAUAUUGGACAAUGGGGGAAACCCUGAUCCAGCGACGCCGCGUGUGUGAAGAAGGCCUGCGGGUUGUAAAGCACUUUUAGUGGGGAUGAAAAGCUCAGGGCUAACACCUCUGGGUCUUGACCUAACCCACAGAAAAAGCACCGGCUAACUCUGUGCCAGCAGCCGCGGUAAUA
rnacentral:rRNA from 1 species